GUCUUUUUGAGUUUAAUUUAAAGUCUAAUCUGCCCACUGAUAAAUAUUUAAGGGCCGCAGUAUUUUGACUGUGCAAAGGUAGCAUAAUCAUUAGUCUUUUAAUUGAAGGCUUGUAUGAAUGAUUGGACGAGAUAUAAGCUGUCUCAUUUAAAUUUAAAUAGAAUUUUAUUUUUUAGUUAAAAAGCUAAAAUAUAUUUAAAAGACGAGAAGACCCUAUAGAUCUUUAUAAUUUAUUUAUAAACUUUUUUAGGUUAUUUUUUAGGUUUAUAAUUUUAAUUAUUUUGUUGGGGUGACAAUGAAAUUUAAUAAACUUUCAUAAUUUUAUUACAUUAAUUUAUGUUUUAUUGAUCCACUAUUAGUGAUUAAAAAUUUAAGUUACCUUAGGGAUAACAGCGUAAUUAUUUUGGAGAGUUCUUAUCGAUAAAAUAGUUUGCGACCUCGAUGUUGGAUUAAGAUUAAUUCUAGGUGUAGCCGCUUAGUUUAUUAAGUCUGUUCGACUUUUAAUUUCUU
rnacentral:rRNA from 1 species